CACAUCAUGGCUACUAGCAGCUCGGGCUCAGAGGAGGCAUGGAGGCUGGGUCUGCUCAGGGCAUGGCUUGCAGCUUGGCCUUCUGCUGCUGCAGCAUGACAAACCACUGCACACCACCACCUCUUAUGCCCCCGGCUCAGCAGAAAGAUAAGGGCCUCUCCAGGGCUUUUGCUGCCUCCACCACCGUGGGUCAACAUCCAGGAAGGAAGACGUUUCUAAGGAAACCACGGAGGCUUUCCACCAAGGUGGUUGCAUGAAAGCGCUGAACUGGUGAGAGUGACAAAAAGCAGUUCAUUGGAUAAUGUAGAAAAAGGGCAUGGACAAAGCUUUACCUGAUUGUCUGGAGCCAGCAUAGAAAGGCAUAACUUUGGGCUUCUUAAGAUCUACAGAUGGAAACCUCCUGGCAGCGUGUGCAGAAACGAUCAGGUCCACAAGGACAACACGGGACAAAUCAAUCAUACAAGAUGGAUGGGGCCAUUGGGUGACGCUUGGGUGAAAACCGCUUCCAGAUUUCACACCAGCUUCGCUUUUGUGCUCCGGCUGAAAACACAGCUUUAUUGCAUGAGCAUAAGUAAUACAGGAAGGCACUUACCACUCCAUUUUGUGCAGCUUUUGUUUGUGAUAGUCUUAAUUUACUGCUGAAGUGAAUCCGAGACUGAUAAUUUUUAUGAUUUUUUACCGAGAAAAGACAUUAAGCUACUUACUUUGGCUGCACUUCCUACGCUGCAGAAAUUAUUUAUCCAAGCACAGCGGCAAAGUGGGUCAGGGGAGGAAUAAUAAUAAUAAUAAUAAAAGAAACCGCCCACAAAAAUCUUGAAUCCCUUGCAGAAGUUGGGUUAAGGCUCAAGAUACUGGAUGCAAACCGCUGCCACGUUCUCCAUUUCAAAGGAAAGGUGUCAGCUCAGGCAGCGAUGUCAAAGGCUGCAAAGUUUGGGCUGCAAAAUCCCACUCCUACCGUUUGCCAUGCUGGCCACAAAGGAACAGAGAGCUGGAUUUGGCUCUGCAAGCUACUCUGCCUUUUCCUCAAGGGAUAUAUACCCCAAGAACUGAGUUGCUUCAUUGAUUCUGUGCAUGGGUAAGCAGCAGUGCCCAUGGGGAGGAGGGGAGAACAGGGAAGAGAAAGCUUUUUUCCCUGUAUUUUCUACCACUAACUGCUCAGUUUGGGUGAAAUAGGAGAGUCACAUCUUUUCCCAACUCUCUGAAGUGAGGGGAACUUUGCUGAGGCCCCAGCUUGAACCGGACCGUGCCCAGAUAUCAUCAGAUCCUGCACAAGAAAAAUAAAGAGCUCAAGUUGCAAAAGAAGAGCGAUGGAGGAGUGAAACUCGAGAGGAGCAUACAGUCCGCUGACAGCUCCCUGCAGCUCAAACCGACCCGUCAGGGCCACAGCAAAGCCUUGGAGCAGCAGCAUUGUGCUCCAGGAAAAUCAGCAUGGUGCAGCCAGGAGGGGAUCAUGCUCAUGCAGAACGAUCUCUGCAGUGGCACCAGAGGAAGAGAUCACACCAUUUGCAAAAGCAAUCUGUGCAGGUGUCCAUUGUCUAGUCUGGGAUUUCACAGGGAAUCUGGUGCCAGGAGCCAUUUGGAUGAUGCCAGACUGCUGAACACAUCCAGAAGCCAGGAGUGAAACAUCUUUGUAAGAAAGAGGAAAUCAAGCCUGGAUUACAGAAACAGAUGCCAUUUAUUCCCAGUCUGGCAAAUGACCCUGGAGUAUAUGGUAAAAAGUGUGAAUAAAACGACACAGACCUCGUCACCAGAGAUUAGUUGUGAACCCUCAGCGUACAACGAAAUCAAACCUCACAGAGUUCACGCCUUUGCUACCACCUGGCAGCCUCCCACUUCAUGUGCACCAAAAGAGCGCCAAGAGUCACUUGGUGAGUGAUGGAAAAACGAAACAAGAACACGAGAUGGUUCUAUUCUGGGGAAAGCACAAAAAUGAAAGGUUCCGUGUGGCCCCACCACUAUAUAUUAAAAGUAGGGCUGCCUGUGAGCUACCGCCGCGGUCGAAGUCGGCAGCUCUUGAGCAGGGCAGGAACCGGCAGAACGGGACUUUCGAAGGAACCCAAAGGACUCCGGGAGAUUUUCCUCGUGACUUCGCUCCCUUCUAGCUACAGAUAGGACUGGGCAGGUCUCUGUCACAACCAGUCUGAUCAGUGCUACCCAAACACAGCAUAGGUGUAGUCUGUGCCCCGAGGAAAUCAGAACUUCAGACAAGCUCAUGCAGGCACUCCCACGCCGGCUGGUGCCAGUGGGGGUGGCGUGAAGGUGAUAGUUGAAAGUCGUUGGGUUUUGUGGUUGGUUUAUGUGUGUGUGUGUGUGUUUUUUUUUCCCUCGCUGAAUCAACAGGGAGUUGUUUUCGACCUUCUGCUUCCUUCAGUGAAGCUGUCAGCUUGUCUUCAGGCUUGGUGAGAAGAAAGGUUGGGCAUAGGGCUGUGCCGGGAGCAUCACCUGGCAGCCUGGGAAUGAGCACAUGAAGGCUUGGAGGAGCCAAGCAGCAGCUUGGGUCCAUGAGAAGGUGCCCAGCUCCUGUUUACAGGAGUGGUUCACUUCAUGCAUAAAACGUGAUCUAGGCUCUAGAGGUCAGGUUGAACCCCAGGGAGGCUGCAGGAGCUCAGCUCUGAUUGUCUUCCAGCUGCAAACAGCUGGAUGAAGCCUUCAGACACCUGGACCAAGGCAGGCUUGGAGCAGAGCUGCAGGUCUCUGCUUGUAGGAUGGAUCGAGUUCCUCCCCCUCCUUAUUGAAAAAUCUCAUAACCGAAAAUCAUCGAGCAGAAGUUCAACAGCUUCAGCAGCUGCAGGCUGCCAAGCAUUCUUGCUGAGUGAGGCUGUUUGGGCAAACCAAAAGAUGGCUAAACCUGGGGCUUGCGUAAACCUUUCUUACCUGGAACAAAAGAUCUGCUUCCAUGGCAGUCAGGUGCACGCAUGAAUGGGGUGAAAACAUGCCCAACCGGUCCCUGUGCAAAAAAAGACAGGUUUGACUGGAAAGGCUGCUUGUGCAGAAAGGGCCUGCCAGCAUCAAAGGCAGAUGUGCUGGGUGCUGCACGUCACGAUUAGCAUCUGCCGGAGCAGAGCCCAGUUUUACAGCACUGAAGGCCACAACUGGCAGCCAGCCUCAGGCUCCAGCAAUGCACCUGGUUUGCAUAAACGCGUCUGAGUCUUUCCAUCCAUCCAACUCCCCAGGAGAGCUGCAGCACCAAAACCCCAGUGCUGCCCGUGCCAGCCAGCUACAGCCCUGUGGCUGCUCACUGCCCGUGUUAAGGAUCUAACCCUGCAAGGUGCAUGCACGGACACUCAGGGCUCACCUGCAGAAGUGGUUGCUUUCAGAUCCUAGUGCUGAUAUGGUUUUGUUUUUCAUUUCACCCAUUUCUCUUUCACUUCCUUCCUGCCCCGCAGGAAGCGAUGGCAAUAAAUACGCCCCAUCACCUGCUCCUCCUGAUCAGAGGUGGCAGCUCCCAGAGCCGCAGGACAAACCCUGCACAUUCCAUGGAGAGGAAAGGGCUGAGGUGGAUAGGACGUGGGGGAAACAAUGGGUAAACCCCCAGCAUCCGAUCACCUUCUGAGCUGCUCAGUGCUCCCCUCAGCCCUCCUGUCCCCCAUCCACCUAUACGCCCAUUUUCAUACACCCAUCACCACCAAAGCUUUUACAUUUAGGACAGGUGGAGAUUUACUGACUUUUUCCACGUGUAAUAAAACAGUACUACUAAUUACGAUAAUAACAGCAAGUGCUAGCUGCGCUCUGCCUGCUUAAUUUUCACCUGCUAUUUAUUUUCAGUUUGAUGUGGUAUUUGCUUCCUGUCAUGCAUUCUUGCAAAUCAUUUCAGUGCCGCCUUAUCUUGCCUAUGUGGUUCACCCAAGGAGUGGCCGAAACGUGGCUCUGACCAAGGGUGUCACCAAGGAGAAGCUCCUGUUCUUCUCAGCUCCUGUAGGAGGGGAAAAAAAAAUGAAGUUUCUCUUUUCCCCUUCUGCCUACAUCCUUACAACCUACUGAGCUGCAGGGAUUUUUGUCCAGCUGCAAAGAAUCUGUUUUUCAUGGAGAAGUGUUGGCACAGCUGUACGCCCUACAAGAUGCCCAGAUCAGGUGAAGGGGCUUCAGGCUUUUUGUUCUUAGAUAAUAUUUCUUUAAAGCUUGGAAUAUUGGUAAAGAGUAAGAGAUGCAGUCAAUAAAAAGAGAUGUACUCAAAGCCUGGGCAUCACCACGAGCAGCUCAAUGCAAACCAAUGAUUGUAUCCAUCACAUCCUCUCCAGUCAGGAGCUAGUGGGUCCUUCUCACAUCCACCUAACAGUGGCAUUGGGUCCCUUGCAUCCAACUCCCCCUGUGUACCAGGUCCCAAAGGGUGACCCCAUUUCCCUGGCAGAGGCCCUAGGGGCUCAAACCCAAAAGCAGGACGCAAGGCACACUGGGCUAUUUAGUUGUGUUAUGAGCUUUUAUUUAAAAAGCACAUUUAUACAGCAAUAAUUUCGCAGAUACAAACUUUCAUUUUGUAUUCUACAAAAGUCUUUGAAUAUUCUUCUCUUUACAAAAUGGAACAUUACAAAAAUACAGACAAUUUAAUAUGGUUUUUUUUUUAUACAAAUGUCUCUAAUUGUAGUUAUUUUCAUUAAAAUAUUACUACCACAGAACUACAAUAUUUUAGUCGACUAUAAAAAAAUUAAUUCAAUGCUUCUUUAAGCAGCAAAAUGUAAAUAACACAGGUCAGGACACAGUUUAUAGUCAUAGUGGAUAUAUCUAAAAUUGUUUCAGAAAUAAUAUUUUACAUAGUUAAUUUUUAAGGUUUUAUACAUUAUUUAUAUAAUAUUUAUAUAUAAAAAAAUCAUAGCUUGCUAUAGUUGAAAUGAUAGGACGGAUUCUGUACGAAGGAUGUGCAAAUGGCCAUUCUGCAUGCUUUGUGUGAUCCCUUUGCCAACGCGCUCUGUGAAAGAUCUGCAAGCCAAAAACUUGUGGUUUCUGGGCAAAAAAAAUGAAAAUCCUACAAAUCACACUGGGUAGAAGCACGGCUGGCUUCCCACUGGUGUCACCAAGCAGAGCACCAGGAUGCCAAUGGGAGAAAUGGGGGAUGUACAAACGGACUGACACCCAGGCUGGGACGGGCUGCCCAGCAGCCCGUCCCAAAAGAGCAGAAUUCAAGGUUCCCCAGGACUCAGCCCUGAGGUUGUAGUGCGAACAAGGUCUCCAGCCAAGCCACCGCUACCCAAACCGUGAGCGCGCAGAAUGCCUGCUGCCAUUCAGAGGGGGGAGGACCAGGAACUGGAGGAUGCUCUUUUCCAUUUUAGGGCCAUUUGCAGCUGCUGCGCACGCCCUGUGGCUCAGGAUGAUGCCUCGCCAGGAAGCGAGCGGGAAGGAAGAAAUGUGGGUCUGUGCUCCAAGGGUACAUUUGUUCAGCCUGGCCGCACAUCUCAGGACUGCUUGUGAAAGGUGCGUGGUGUGAACAGAGACCCCUCCGGAGAUCCUUGGCUGGGCAAGCUCCUUCUAUGCUAAGUCACAGUAUGGAAAAGAGGAGGCAGAAACAAACUAGCAUCCAAAAUAAAAAAAAAUAGCAACUCUUACAAACCAAUCCCAGAUCUUGACUCAGUGCUGUUUCUCGUAUGUAGUGCUAUGUAAUUUGCGAGCUGGUUUUUUUCUUGCCUGCAUUAGAAAUCUUCAUCAUCAAAAAAUAAUAUAAAAACCCUAAGAUGGCCAGCUUUCCAAAAU